rnacentral:rRNA from 1 species
UGGGGAAUAUUGGACAAUGGGCGAAAGCCUGAUCCAGCCAUGCCGCGUGAAUGAUGAAGGCCUUAGGGUUGUAAAGUUCUUUUGACGGGGAAGAUAAUGACGGUACCCGUAGAAUAAGCUCCGGCUAACUUCGUGCCAGCAGCCGCGGUAAUACGAAGGGAGCUAGCGUUGUUCGGAAUUACUGGGCGUAAAGGGCGCGUAGGCGGUUUAACAAGUCAGGGGUGAAAUCCCGGGGCUCAACCUCGGAAUUGCCUUUGAAACUGUUAAGCUAGAGUUUUGUAGGGGAUAGUGGAAUUUCUAGUGUAGGGGUGAAAUCCGUAGAUAUUAGAAGGAACACCAGUGGCGAAGGCGGCUAUCUGGACAAAUACUGACGCUGAGGCGCGAAAGUGUGGGGAGCAAA